UAGGGAAUCUUCGGCAAUGGACGAAAGUCUGACCGAGCAACGCCGCGUGAGUGAAGAAGGUUUUCGGAUCGUAAAACUCUGUUGUUAGAGAAGAACAAGGACGUUAGUAACUGAACGUCCCCUGACGGUAUCUAACCAGAAAGCCACGGCUAACUACGUUCCAGCAGCCGCGGUAAUACGUAGGUGGCAAGCGUUGUCCGGAGUUAUUGGGCGUAAAGCGAGCGCAGGCGGUGUCUUAAGUCUGAUGUGAAAGCCCCCGGCUCAACCGGGGAGGGUCAUUGGAAACUGGGAGACUGGAGUGCAGAAGAGGAGAGUGGAAUUCCAUGUGUAGCGGUGAAAUGCGUAGAUAUAUGGAGGAACACCAGUGGCGAAGGCGGCUCUCUGGUCUGUAACUGACGCUGAGGCUCGAAAGCGUGGGGAGCAAACAGG
rnacentral:rRNA from 1 species